AUGCCGACGGGGGGCAGCAGUGGGGAAUUUUGGACAAUGGGCGCAAGCCUGAUCCAGCUAUUCCGCGUGUGGGAAGACGGCCUUCGGGUUGUAAACCACUUUUGUAGAGAACGAAAAGUCUGUUGAUAAUACCGAUAGAUAAUGACGGUACUCUAAGAAUAAGCACCGGCUAACUACGUGCCAGCAGCCGCGGUAAUACGUAGGGUGCGAGCGUGAAUCGGAAUUACUGGACGUAAAGGGUG
rnacentral:rRNA from 1 species